CCCUCUUCCCUCCCGGCCACCCUGGCAUUCGCCUUAGCCUCAUGGCGCCUGCAGAAAAGGCGAUGAGGGGACAGGAAGCAGGCAGCCCUGAGGGGUGGGCCUCAGCAGAGUGGGUGUUAACUGUAAUGCCUCUGGUGCUCAAGGGAUCUUUUCAUUCCCCCCUUCUUCUGGAACCCUCACCCAGAAGCUCCCUGUCAGAGGGGAGGAAGCAGAGCUGGAGGCACGAUGCGGGGGACAGAGGAACUUGCUCAGGGACAUCGCUGGCUUUCAUCUCCCGGGCCCUGUCCUGAAGUCCUCUAGAUGGUGAGGGCACCCACCAAACUCUUCGAACCAGAUGCUGGGACCACACCCACUACGCUUGAGCACACUCAGGGGAAUAAAUGCUAGGCUGUGAGCAGCAGGGUCUUA